rnacentral:rRNA from 1 species
AGCGAACGCUGGCGGCAGGCCUAACACAUGCAAGUCGAACGAACCUUUCGGGGUUAGUGGCGGACGGGUGAGUAACACGUGGGAACGUGCCUUUAGGUUCGGAAUAACUCAGGGAAACUUGUGCUAAUACCGAAUGUGCCCUUCGGGGGAAAGAUUUAUCGCCUUUAGAGCGGCCCGCGUCUGAUUAGCUAGUUGGUUGAGGUAAUGGCUCACCAAGGCGACGAUCAGUAGCUGGUCUGAGAGGAUGAUCAGCCACAUUGGGACUGAGACACGGCCCAAACUCCUACGGGAGGCAGCAGUGGGGAAUCUUGCGCAAUGGGCGAAAGCCUGACGCAGCCAUGCCGCGUGAAUGAUGAAGGUCUUAGGAUUGUAAAAUUCUUUCACCGGGGACGAUAAUGACGGUACCCGGAGAAGAAGCCCCGGCUAACUUCGUGCCAGCCGCCGCCGUAA